AACCGGCCCCAAGGCACACACGUCUUGGUCUUACUAAACCCUCUUCUUCCGUAAAUAAAUUUCAUAAAGACCGUGGAUGAAAAAGGGACAUAGGAGUUUACACCUCUUGAAACCCCCGAAUAAUCGGCCCCGAGGCAUACAUCUUUGUCUUACCGAGCAUUCGUCAUCCUCCUAAACACAAUUCAGCACAUCAAACCAAC
rnacentral:lncRNA from 1 species